rnacentral:tRNA from 1 species
GGGGUUGUAACUCAGUGGUAGAGCGCUUGCCUAGCAUGUAUGACACACUGGGUUCGAUUCUCAGCACCACA